UAGUGUAGUGGACUACCAUGGUAUUAACGGGUGACGGAGAAUUAGGGUUUGACUCCGGAGAGGGAGCCUGAGAAACGGCUACCACAUCCAAGGAAGGCAGCAGGGGCGCAAAUUGACCAAUCCUGAUACAGGGAGUCAGUGACAAUAAAUAACAAUACUGAGCCUUUAUAGGUUUGGUAAUUGGAAUGAGUACAAUUUAAACAACUUAACGAAUCCACUAGAGGGAAAGUCUGGUGCCAGCAGCCGCGGUAAUUCCAGCUCUAGUAGCGUAUAUUAAAGUUGCUGCAGUUAAAAAGCUCGUCGUUGGAUUUCUGGUAUGAUAUUUUUAAGUCCCUAUGGUUCUACUGUGGGUGUGCUGAAAAUAUCUGACAUCCAUCUAGAGAAAUGUCACUCCCGCGAAAGCGGUGUGGUGGCAUCGCUCUAGAUCAUUUACUUUGAAAAAAUUAGAGUGUUUAAAGCAGGCUUGCGCUUAUGAAUACAUUAGCAUGGAAUAAUAACAUAGGACUUCGGCCUAUUUAUUGGUUUCUGGACGAAGUAAUGAUUGAUAGGGAUAGUUGGGGGUGCUUCUAUUAUGUAGUCAGAGGUGAAAUUCUUGGAUUUACAUAAGAGAAACUUAUGCGAAAGCAUUCGCCAAGGAUGUCUUCUUUAAUCAAGAACGAAAGUUGAGGGAUCGAAGACGAUCAGAUACCGUCGUAGUCUCGACCAUAAACUAUACCGACUAAGGAUGAGGGAACGUUGUAUUAUUGACUUCCUUCGCACUUUAUGAGAAAUCAAAGUCUCUAGGUUCUGGGGGGAGUAUGGUCGCAAGGCUGAAACUUAAAGGAAUUGACGGAAGGGCACCACCAGGAGUGGAGCCUGCGGCUUAAUUUGACCCAACACGGGAAAACUUACCAGGUCCAGACUCCGUAAGGAUUGACAGAUUGAAGAUCUUUCUUAAUUUGGAGGGUGGUGGUGCAUGGCCGUUCACAGUUGGUGGAGUGAUUUGUCUGGUUAAUUCCGUUAACGAACGAGACCUCGACCUGCUAAUUAGUGUUAAGAAACUCACGUUUCUUACUCACUUCUUAGAGGGACUACUGGUUUAUAACCAGUGGAAGUUCGAGGCCAUAACAGGUCUGUGAUGCCCUUAGAUGUUCUGGGCCGCACGUGCGCUACAAUGUGGGGUGCAUCAAGUUUCUCCUUGAUCGAAAGAUCUGGGUAAACUUUUUAACUCCCCACGUGCUGGGGAUAGAUUAUUGUAAUUAUUAAUCUUCAACGAGGAAUUCCUAGUAAACGCAAGUCAUCAACUUGCAUUGAUUACGUCCCUGCCCUUUGUACACACCGCCCGUCGCUGCUACCGAUUGGAUGGCUUAGUGAGUUUCAGGGAUUGUAAAUUGAGGUUGGCUUGCCUUCUUCAGCGUACGAGAACUGAAUCAAACUUGAUCAUCUAGAGGAAGCAAAAGUCGUAACAAGGUU
rnacentral:rRNA from 1 species